CCUACGGGAGGCAGCAGUGGGGAAUAUUGCGCAAUGGGCGAAAGCCUGACGCAGCGACGCCGCGUGAGGGAUGAAGGUCUUCGGAUCGUAAACCUCUGUCAGCAGGGAAGAACGGUCACUGUGCUAAUCAGCAGUGCAUUGACGGUACCUGCAAAGGAAGCCCCGGCUAACGCCGUGCCAGCAGCCGCGGUAAUACGGAGGGUGCGAGCGUUGAUCGGAAUUACUGGGCGUAAAGCGCUCGUAGGCGGUAUGUCAAGUCAGGUGUGAAAUCCCCGCGCUCAACGUGGGAACUGCCUUUGAAACUGGCAAACUGGAGUGUGGGAGAGGAUAGUGGAAUUCGAGGUGUAGGAGUGAAAUCCGUAGAUAUCUGGAGGAACAUCAGUGGCGAAGGCGACUAUCUGGCACAUAACUGACGCUGAGGAGCGAAAGCGUGGGUAGCAAACAGGAUUAGAUACCCCAGUAGUC
rnacentral:rRNA from 1 species